GAUGAACGCUGGCGGCGUGCUUAACACAUGCAAGUCGAACGAAGCACUUUAUUUGAUUCCCUUCGGGAUUGAUUAUUUUGUGACUGAGUGGCGGACGGGUGAGUAACGCGUGGGUAACCUGCCUUGUACAGGGGGAUAACAGUUGGAAACGGCUGCUAAUACCGCAUAAGCGCACAGUAUCGCAUGAUGCAGUGUGAAAAACUCCGGUGGUAUAAGAUGGACCCGCGUUGGAUUAGCUAGUUGGUGAGGUAACGGCCCACCAAGGCGACGAUCCAUAGCCGACCUGAGAGGGUGACCGGCCACAUUGGGACUGAGACACGGCCCAAACUCCUACGGGAGGCAGCAGUGGGGAAUAUUGCACAAUGGGCGAAAGCCUGAUGCAGCGACGCCGCGUGAGUGAAGAAGUAUUUCGGUAUGUAAAGCUCUAUCAGCAGGGAAGAUAAUGACGGUACCUGACUAAGAAGCACCGGCUAAAUACGUGCCAGCAGCCGCGGUAA
rnacentral:rRNA from 1 species